rnacentral:lncRNA from 1 species
GUCAGCCCAAGGCUGCCCCAUCGGUCACUCUGUUCCCGCCCUCCUCUGAGGAGCUUCAAGCCAACAAGGCCACACUGGUGUGCCUGAUCAGUGACUUCUACCCGGGAGCUGUGAAAGUGGCCUGGAAGGCAGAUGGCAGCCCCGUCAACACGGGAGUGGAGACCACCACACCCUCCAAACAGAGCAACAACAAGUACGCGGCCAGCAGCUAGCUACCUGAGCCUGACGCCUGAGCAGUGGAAGUCCCACAGAAGCUACAGUUGCCAGGUCACGCAUGAAGGGAGCACCGUGGAGAAGACAGUGGCCCCUGCAGAAUG